GAGUUUGAUCGUGGCUCAGAUUGAACGCUGGCGGCAUGCCUUACACAUGCAAGUCGAACGGCAGCAUGAUCUAGCUUGCUAGAUUGAUGGCGAGUGGCGAACGGGUGAGUAAUACAUCGGAACGUGCCCUGUAGUGGGGGAUAACUAGUCGAAAGAUUAGCUAAUACCGCAUACGACCUGAGGGUGAAAGUGGGGGACCGCAAGGCCUCAUGCUAUAGGAGCGGCCGAUGUCUGAUUAGCUAGUUGUGGGUAAGGCCCGACCAAGGCGACGACCAGUAGCUGGUCUGAGAGGACGAUCAGCCACACU
rnacentral:rRNA from 1 species